AUGCUUGAGGAAAAGAAACAUAUUGCUGUGAGGUUUGACAAUGAUGAGAGCAAGUACAAAGUUGCUUGGGACAUCAUUGAUAAAAGGUGGGACAGGAAGCUCAAGACUCCACUACUAGGGAAAAGUGGCUACUAUUUGAAUCCUCACUAUUAUUAUCCAAACAAGUCAGAGAUUGAGCACGAUGGAUCAUUUAGAGCUGUUGUUAUUACAUGCAUUUGCAAGAUGAUUGAGGAUGAAGAAACCCAAGACAUUGUAAUUGAAGAACUUAACAUGAAUCAAGAUCAGCAAGGAUCUUUCAGCCAUGAGAUUGCUAUAAGGCAAAGGAGAAACAAGAAUUUUAAUCCAGCAAAAUGGUGGCUGAACCAUGGCACCAGCACACCAAAGUUGAGAACUUUAGCAUCUAGGAUUCUUAAUUUGACAUGCAGCUCAUCAGCUUGUGAGAGGAAAUGGUCAGCUUUCGAAGAGGUUCAUACAAAGAAGCGCAAUAGGCUGCUGCAUGACAGGAUGAGGGAUCUUGUGUUUGUGAAAUUCAACUCUAAACUAAGGAACAAGAGAGAGAACAAAAACAGAGAUCCCAUAGAGAAAGAAGUAGAUGAUGUUCUUGCUGAUUAUGACAAUGAGUUCAUCACUGGGAAAGAACCAACUACAGAAGCAAAUGAAGAACAAGAGAAAGCUCAUGAAGAUGCAUCGGAAGAGGCACCAAACAGGGCAUCAUCAUCACAGGGAAAAGCCAAAAGGAAGAGGAGUUCUCGGCCUAGGAAGAAAAUCAAGACCGUGAGCCUGCAGUCCUUGAUGGCUAUGCGUGUUGAAACAAUGCCGCAAGCUGCUUCUUCUUCUGAAUCGUUGACUGACAAGUCUCCUUCAGAUUCUGGAGAAGAAUAG
rnacentral:rRNA from 1 species